CAAGACCUCAUGCUUUUGGAGCGGCCGAUGUCUGAUUAGCUAGUUGGUGGGGUAAUGGCUCACCAAGGCGACGACCAGUAGUUGGUCUGAGAGGACGACCAGCCACACUGGGACUGAGACACGGCCCAGACUCCUACGGGAGGCAGCAGUGGGGAAUUUUGGACAAUGGGCGCAAGCCUGAUCCAGCAAUGCCGCGUGAGUGAAGAAGGCCUUCGGGUUGUAAAGCUCUUUCAGUCGAGAAGAAAAGGCUGUGACUAAUAAUCAUAGCUCAUGACGGUAUCGACAGAAGAAGCCCCGGCUAACUACGUGCCAGCAGCCGCGGUAAUACGUAGGGUGCGAGCGUUAAUCGGAAUUACUGGGCGUAAAGGGUGCGCAGGCGGUUUUGUAAGUCAGAUGUGAAAUCCCCGGGCUUAACCUGGGAACU
rnacentral:rRNA from 1 species